rnacentral:rRNA from 1 species
CUACCGGAGGCAGCAGUCGAGAAUUUUCUCAAUGAGGCAACCUGACGGAGCGACGCCGCGUGGAGGAUGAAGGCUUUCGGGUUGUAAACUCCUGUCAUUUGGGAACAAGUGCACAUGUUAACUGCGUGUGCAUUGAUAGUACCAGAAGAGGAAGAGACGGCUAACUCUGUGCCAGCAGCCGCGGUAAUACAGAGGUCUCAAGCGUUGUUCGGAUUCAUUGGGCGUAAAGGGUGCGUAGGUGGCGCCGUAAGUCAGGUGUGAAAUUUCGGAGCUCAACUCCGAAACUGCAUUUGAUACUGCGGUGCUUGAGGACUGGAGAGGAGACUGGAAUUCACGGUGUAGCAGUGAAAUGCGUAGAUAUCGUGAGGAAGACCAGUGGCGAAGGCGGGUCUCUGGACAGUUCCUGACACUGAGGCACGAAGGCCAGGGGAGCAAACGGGAUUAGAUACCCCGGUAGUCCUGGCAGUAAACGGUGCACGUUUGGUGUGGGAGGAUUCGACCCCUUCUGCGCCGGAGCUAACGCGUUAAACGUGCCGCCUGGGGAGUACGGUCGCAAGAUUAAAACUCAAAGAAAUUGACGGGGGCCCGCACAAGCGGUGGAGUAUGUGGCUUAAUUCGAUGCAACGCGAAGAACCUUACCUGGCCUUGACAUGCAUCUCUAAGUUGGUGAAAGCCAGCGAGUCCCGAAAGGGACAAUUUGCACAGGUGCUGCAUGGCUGUCGUCAGCUCGUGUCGUGAGAUGUUGGGUUAAGUCCCGCAACGAGCGCAACCCCUGUGAACUGUUGCCACCCUCUUUAUUGAGGAGCACUCUGUUCAGACUGCCCUGUGAAACGGGGAGGAAGGUGGGGACGACGUCAAGUCAGUAUGGCCCUUACGGCCAGGGCUGCACACGUACUACAAUGCUCAGUACAGAACGAUCCGAGACCGCGAGGUGGAGGAAAUCUAUCAAAACUGAGCCCAGUUCGGAUUGGAGGCUGCAACUCGCCUCCAUGAAGCCGGAAUCGCUAGUAAUGGCGCAUCAGCUACGGCGCGGUGAAUACGUUCCCGGG